UGGGGAAUAUUGCACAAUGGGGGAAACCCUGAUGCAGCGACGCCGCGUGAGCGAAGAAGGUUUUCGAAUCGUAAAGCUCUGUCCUAUGGGAAGAUAAUGACGGUACCAUAGGAGGAAGCCCCGGCUAACUACGUGCCAGCAGCCGCGGUAAUACGUAGGGGGCAAGCGUUGUCCGGAAUCACUGGGCGUAAAGGGUUCGCAGGCGGAAAUGCAAUUCAGUUGUGAAAGGCAGAGGCUCAACCUCUGUAAGCAAUUGAAACUGUAUUUCUUGAGAUGUGGAGAGGCAAGUGGAAUUCCUAGUGUAGCGGUGAAAUGCGUAGAUAUUAGGAAGAAUACCGGUGGCGAAGGCGACUUGCUGGACACAAACUGACGCUGAGGAACGAAAGCGUGGGUAGCAAACAGG
rnacentral:rRNA from 1 species